GCAAUGCCGCGUGUGUGAAGAAGGCCCCGGGUUGUAAAGCACUUUUGUCCGGAAAGAAAUCCUUGGCUCUAAUACAGUCGGGGGAUGACGGUACCGGAAGAAUAAGCACCGGCUAACUACGUGCCAGCAGCCGCGGUAAUACGUAGGGUGCGAGCGUUAAUCGGAAUUACUGGGCGUAAAGCGUGCGCAGGCGGUUUGCUAAGACCGAUGUGAAAUCCCCGGGCUCAACCUGGGAACUGCAUUGGUGACUGGCAGGCUAGAGUAUGGCAGAGGGGGGUAGAAUUCCACGUGUAGCAGUGAAAUGCGUAGAGAUGUGGAGGAAUACCGAUGGCGAAGGCAGCCCCCCGGGCCAAUACUGACGCUCAUGCACGAAAGCGUGGGGAGCAAACAGGAUUAGAUACCCUGGUAGUCCACGCCCUAAACGAUGUCAACUAGUUGUUGGGGAUUCAUUUCCUUAGUAACGUAGCUAACGCGUGAAGUUGACCGCCUGGGGAGUACGGUCGCAAGAUUAAAACUCAAAGGAAUUGACGGGGACCCGCACAAGCGGUGGAUGAUGUGGAUUAAUUCGAUGCAACGCGAAAAACCUUACCUACCCUUGACAUGGUCGGAAUCCUGCUGA
rnacentral:rRNA from 1 species